ACUCCUACGGGAGGCAGCAGUGGGGAAUAUUGCACAAUGGGGGGAAGCCCUGAUGCAGCCAUGCCGCGUGUGUGAAGAAGGCCUUCGGGUUGUAAAGCACUUUCAGUAGGGAGGAAGGUAGUGUAGUUAACACCUGCACUAUUUGACGUUACCUACAGAAGAAGCACCGGCUAACUCCGUGCCAGCAGCCGCGGUAAUACGGGAGGGUGCGAGCGUUAAUCGGAAUUACUGGGCGUAAAGCGCAUGCAGGCGGCCUGUUAAGUCAGAUGUGAAAGCCCGGGGCUUAACCUCGGAAUUGCAUUUGAAACUGGCAGGCUAGAGUCUUGUAGAGGGGGGUAGAAUUUCAGGUGUAGCGGUGAAAUGCGUAGAGAUCUGAAGGAAUACCAGUGGCGAAGGCGGCCCCCUGGACAAAGACUGACGCUCAGAUGCGAAAGCGUGGGGAGCAAACAGGAUUAGAUACCCUGGUAGCACAGAG
rnacentral:rRNA from 1 species